rnacentral:rRNA from 1 species
UACGUAGGGUCCGAGCGUUGUCCGGAAUUACUGGGCGUAAAGAGCUCGUAGGUGGUUUGUCGCGUUGUUCGUGAAAACUCACAGCUUAACUGUGGGCGUGCGGGCGAUACGGGCAGACUGGAGUACUGCAGGGGAGACUGGAAUUCCUGGUGUAGCGGUGAAAUGCGCAGAUAUCAGGAGGAACACCCGAGUGGCGAAAGGG